rnacentral:tRNA from 1 species
GCCCACGUAGCUCAACGGAUAGAGCAGCCUGUUGGUCGCAGGGUCCGGUUGCAGGUUCGAGUCCUGUCGUGGGUA